UACGUAGGCAGCGAGCGUUGUUCGGAAUUACUGGGCGUAAAGAGUGUGUAGGCGGUGCUCUAAGUCUGUCGUGAAAUCUCCCGGCUUAACCGGGAGGCUGCGGCGGAAACUAUUGUGCUCGAGGGUGGGAGAGGUAAGCGGAAUUCCUGGUGUAGCGGUGAAAUGCGUAGAUAUCAGGAGGAACACCUGCGGUGUAGACAGCUUACUGGACCACUUCUGACGCUGAGACACGAAAGCGUGGGUAGCAAACAGG
rnacentral:rRNA from 1 species